rnacentral:rRNA from 1 species
UACGAGGGGUGCAAGCGUUGCUCGGAAUUAUUGGGCGUAAAGGGUAGGUAGGUGGUCUUAUUUGUCUUGUGUGAAAGCCUUGGGCUUAACCCAAGAAGUGCGCAAGAAACGGUAAGACUAGAGUCCCAGAGAGGCUUGUGGAAUUCCCCGGUGUAGCGGUGAAAUGCGUAGAGAUCGGGAGGAACACCAGAGGCGAAGGCGGCAAGCUGGAUGGGCACUGA